GUGAUCCUACGGGGGGCAGCAGUGGGGAAUAUUGGACAAUGGGGGGAACCCUGAUGCAGCAACGCCGCGUGAGUGAAGAAGUAUUUCGGUAUGUAAAGCUCUAUCAGCAGGGAAGAAAAUGACAGUACCUGACUAAGAAGCCCCGGCUAACUACGUGCCAGCAGCCGCGGUAAUACGUAGGGGGCAAGCGUUAUCCGGAUUUACUGGGUGUAAAGGGAGCGUAGACGGCUGCGCAAGUCAGAAGUGAAAGCCCGGGGCUCAACCGCGGGACUGCUUUUGAAACUGUAUAGCUAGAGUGCAGGAGG
rnacentral:rRNA from 1 species